rnacentral:misc_RNA from 1 species
GAUGAAGAACGCAGCGAAAUGCGAUAAGUAAUGUGAAUUGCAGAAUUCAGUGAAUCAUCGAAUCUUUGAACGCACAUUGCGCCCGCCAGCAUUCUGGCGGGCAUGCCUGUUCGAGCGUCAUUUCAACCCUCGAGCCCCCCCGGGGGCCUCGGUGUUGGGGGACGGCACACCAGCCGCCCCCGAAAUGCAGUGGCGACCUCGCCGCAGCCUCCACUGCGUAGUAGCACACACCUCGCACCGGAGCGCGGAGACGGUCACGCCGUAAAACGCCCAACUUCUUAGAGUUGACCUCGGAUCAGGUAGGAAUACCCGCUGAACUUAAGCAUAUCAAUAAGCGGAGGA